rnacentral:rRNA from 1 species
AGUGAACGCUGGCAGUAGGCCUAACACAUGCAAGUCGAACGGCAGCACAGUAAGAGCUUGCUCUUACGGGUGGCGAGUGGCGGACGGGUGAGGAAUACAUCGGAAUCUACUUUUUCGUGGGGGAUAACGUAGGGAAACUUACGCUAAUACCGCAUACGACCUACGGGUGAAAGCAGGGGAUCUUCGGACCUUGCGCGAUUGAUUGAGCCGAUGUCGGAUUAGCUAGUUGGCGGGGUAAAGGCCCACCAAGGCGACGAUCCGUAGCUGGUCUGAGAGGAUGAUCAGCCACACUGGAACUGAGACACGGUCCAGACUCCUACGGGAGGCAGCAGUGGGGAAUAUUGGACAAUGGGCGCAAGCCUGAUCCAGCCAUACCGCGUGGGUGAAGAAGGCCUUCGGGUUGUAAAGCCCUUUUGUUGGGAAAGAAAAGCAGCAGGUUAAUACCCCGCUGUUCUGACGGUACCCAAAGAAUAAGCACCGGCUAACUUCGUG